AGAACUUAGCAGAGAUGCUUGGUGCCUUCGGGAACUCUGAGACAGGUGCUGCAUGGCUGUCGUCAGCUCGUGUUGUGAAAUGUUGGGUUAAGUCCCGCAACGAGCGCAACCCUUAUCCUUUGUUGCCAGCGGUCCGGCCGGGAACUCAAAGGAGACUGCCAGUGAUAAACUGGAGGAAGGUGGGGAUGACGUCAAGUCAUCAUGGCCCUUACGAGUAGGGCUACACACGUGCUACAAUGGCGCAUACAAAGAGAAGCGACCUCGCGAGAGCAAGUCGGACCUCAUAAAGUGCGUCGUAGUCCGGAUUGGAGUCUGCAACUCGACUCCAUGAAGUCGGAAUCGCUAGUAAUCGUGGAUCAGAAUGCCACGGUGAAUACGUUCCCGGGCCUUGUACACACCGCCCGUCACACCAUGGGAGUGGGUUGCAAAAGAAGUAGGUAGCUUAACCUUCGGGAGGGCGCUUACCACUUUGUGAUUCAUGACUGGGGUGAAGUCGUAACAAGGUAAGCGUAGUGCU
rnacentral:rRNA from 1 species